rnacentral:lncRNA from 1 species
GAAAGUGUUUGCGGUGGAGUGCCGUUGAUUUGUUGGCCAUUUAUAGCAGAUCAGAUGACAAACAGUAGAUAUGCUUGCACAGAAUGGGGUGUUGGAUUGGAGCUUGAAAAAGUUGAGAGAAAUGAAGUGGAGAAGCUUGUGAAGGAGCUUUUCGAAGGAGAGAAAGGGAAGGAAAUGAAGAAGAAAGUAAUGGAGUGGAAGAGAAAAGCAGAAGAGGCAACAGUUUCUGGUGGUUCCUCUUGCAAGAACUUGGAUAAGUUGUUGGAGAUUCUCGUGGGAAACAAUGAUAAUAAUAAUUAAUAGGUCUGUUUUUAAGUUGAUAUACUGAAAAAUAAAAGGCAGGUAGCCUUAAACAGUUCAAAUUGAUCUUGAGUUGUUUUUGUUACAAAAUUAUUCCCUCACAGCCACAGGCUCACACAAUGAAUUGAGCUUAAUAUCAUCCAAAAACCUAGCUGGAGAAGAAUUGUCAAAUCUUUAUAUUUAAUAUUAAAUUUGGAGUAUGAAAGUUAUGAACAUAUACAUUUAUAGAUGACUCCAUAUUGAAACAGAGACAACGAUACGAGUUUAAAUUAAAAAUAAUGUAUUUAUUUAUUCAUUCCGCUCAUGAUAGAGCCAAGGGGUGGUGGCGCAGUUGGCUAGCGCGUAGGUCUCAUAGCUACUGAGUUAUCCUGAGGUCGAGAGUUCGAGCCUCUCUCACCCCAUUCAUUUUUUUUUUAACUUUUUUCAACCACGAACCUGCAUUAAAAGAAAAUUUUAAAUUUUAAAUUUUUUAAUUAUAUUUAUUAUAAAGAUAUUAUAUUUUAUUAAAUAUCAGUAAAAAUUUAAAUAAACUUAAACAUUAAAUAAUAUUAAUAUUCAUCGUUUUAUAUAUUAUUAUAAUAUAAAAAAUAAAUAAUAAUUUUACAUCAUUUUAUAUAUUAUUAUAAUAUAAAAAAUAAAUAAUAAUUAAAAAAUUUAUAAAAUGAAUAAAAUAUUAUAAUUUUUCAAAUUAUUAUACUUUUUAAAAAAUAUUAAAUUUUAUUAACUUUUUAAUUAUAUUUAUUAUAAAAAUAUUAAAUUUUAUUAAAUAUUAACAAAAAUUUAAAAAAAUUUAAACAUAAAAUAAUAUUAAUACUCAUCAUUUUAUAUAUUAUUAUAAUAUAAAAAAUAAAAUAAAUAAUAAUUUUAACAAUAAUUAAAAAAAUUAAUAAGAUGGAGGAAGGAGACUUAAGUCUCCUUUCCUGUGCAUGGAAGUCCGCGGGACUGUACAUGCACAGCGCUACACGGGUCUGUACAGUGCCGGAUAGUGUUUUUGACAUUCAAAAUAUCGAACCCGCCACCACCAGAGGAGUUCAAACUGCUUUCGUGAGGUGAACAGCUGAACACAUUUUUUUACACACAAAAUUUGAAAUUAUUUUGAGAUUCUGUCUAAAAUGGUAAUUAUAUUUUUUAUGCAUAAAUUAAAAAAAUCUCCCAAUUUUGAUGACAGUUGAGUUAGUCGAGUUUCUUUUUUUUUUUUUUCAAAAUCCAAAGAGCUGAGUUGAGUUGUUAAUCAUUCUCCGAUCCUGAUAUACUGUCGACUGUCGCCUUUCGUCCCACCACCAUCACCAUCUCCACCGCCCGACCCUUCCCAAAACCCCCAAUCCCACUAGUCCCAGUCCUUCGCUCUCCUAUGAUCAUCCAUUGACACCGGUCACUUCGAAAACCAAUCAAUCAUUAUUUUUCUCAAGCCAUUCCUUUAUGCACGCCCCGAAUUCCAGCAAUUUGAAUUAGUAGAUUUAGUGGGAUUUGCGAGUCUCGAAGACCAUUUAGAGAGGAAUUGAGGAGGAUAUUGGGAUUUUUCAGGGAGCUGGAAGGCAAUGGUGUAGCAGGAGAAGGAAGACGAAGAUUGUAAUACACUAGUGGGUUUGUUGAUGUCAUGACCGUUGGCUUGUUUGGUUUAAUUUCAAUUUCAAAAAUUAGAAUAUUGUGUAUUUGUAUUGAAGAAAAAUUAAAAUUUAAUUUAAAAAUUGAAUUUUAUAAAAUAAAUUAUAAUUAAAAUAAAUUCUUUUAAAUUUAAAUAAAAUUUGAAAUGAAAUGAAUUCACAGAACUUACAUAACAAUUUUUUGGAUUAAAAUACCUUUAAUAAAAUUUCACUUAAUUAUUAUUUAUUUUACUAGUUAAUUAAAUAAAUAAUUGAAAAUUAAUUAUAAAUUAUUAAAAAUGUUAAUGCUUACAAAAUGAAUAAUUAAAAUUUAUUUUAAUAAAUAAUUAUAAUUUUUAUUUUUAUAUUAUUUAUAAAUAUUAAAUAAAAAUAAUAGAUACUACUUGAACAAUAGGCCAUUUACCUUAAAUUUUUAAUUUUUUAAAUUGAUCCAAUGAAAUGAAAACUUUAUUAUAUAAGAAUACACACAAAUAUAACUCUCAUAUUAUUUAUUUUAAUUUUAUUAAUAUAUUGUUAGAGUAUUAUUAUUAUUAUUAUCAUUAUUAUUAUUAUUAUUAUUAUUAUUAUUAUUAUUAAUUAAUUAAAUUUUUUGAAUAAUAUAUAUAUAUAUAUAUAUAUAUAUAUUACUGAGUAAUUUAGAAUAAAUGAAUUUCAAUUCUGAAAUUAAACCAAACACAAAUUAUAUGGAAUUCAAUUGACUUUUACAAUUUAAGUUACAUCAAAUUAAAUAGUAAAAUUCAUUUGAAAUAAAUUAUAUAUGGAAUUCAAUUAAAUUCCACAUAAUUCUAAUAAUAAAAUUGAUUAAGAAAUUAAUUUUAAAUUUUAUGACAGACUUGAAUCGAAUUUAACUUCUCUACCAACAUCUAUUGGAAGUCACAAUAGCUUUUCAAAAAUAAAACUUGAAUCGAAUUUAACUUCUCUUCGAACGUCUGUUGAAAGUCAUAAUAGCUUUUCAAAAAUAGAAUUUCGAAAUGCAAAAGUUUCAAAAAUUAUCAUGGCGGCAAAAGGUUUUGGAUUUUAAUUAUUUUUUUAAAUUUUUUUAUAAUUUUCUAUAUUAUGAUUUUUACUAUUAUAAAUAGUUAUUUUUUUAUCGUAUUAUAAAUAUUUUUUUUACUAUUUAAGAUAUUUUUUAAUUUUUAAAAAUUUAAUAAUAAAUUUAGAUUUUUAACCUUUCAUUUUUUGACUUGCGGCAAGAUUGUUUUGUUACCGAUUCCAUUAGGAACCGCAGAUCAUCUUAAUAAAAAGAUAUCGACUAAAAUUUCAGGAAGUCUAAACAGUCCUGUUCCAUAAACAAAUACUAUGUUCCUACUUAGACUGAAAAGGAAAGAUUCCUUACUUAGGUUACUUGCUAAAGAUAUAUAAGUUACUUAUUGUUCUUCUUCUUGUUCUCUGGUUUCCUGUGUUUCUUUUUAGUUUUGCUUGUAUCUCACAUGAUUCUAAAUAAAUAAGAUAGCUUCCAUAUAUUUAUGUUCAUGGUCAUGAAGUCAUUCAUGUGUAUUUUAGCAAUAUAAUCACGGGAUUCCCGAUCAAUUAGCCGAUGGAAUCUUCUAUCAAUUAGACGACACCAGCCGAAUCUCAAGAAAAUAUUAUAAUUAAUUCCAUAUUCUUACAAUAUAAAAGAUAAUGAUUGCAGAGAUAAAGGUACAUAUUUGUACACAAUUACUCUUGAAUUCUAAGCAAUUCCUUACAUUCGCCUUUUUCUUCAGUUUAUUGACUUGAGUAUCAGAAUCUCUGCCGUAGAUACCAACUACCUCACAUUCUCUUUCUUGCAGGUUGACCAAUCAUAGUUUAGCUCACUUUCAGCCACAUCAUUUGGUUCCGCUGUCGGAAAAUCCAUUGAUUUUUCUCUGUUUAUUUGGAUUAAAACUGGUCUCUAAUCCUCUCCCUUAAAAAGAAAUUUCUGCUUUCUCUCUCUCGAAAUGACUGACAAUUCACAAGCUACUACUAAAGUUGCUAUCAAUGAGGACGCUAUCAUUUCUUCCACUCCUAGCAGUAGACAAAACACAUCCUCUAUGGUCAAUGAAGCAGAACUCAAUAAUCUAAACAAUGAGUAAAUGCUCAAGUACAUCAAAAGGUUGCAUGCUACUCUCGAGCAAUAUAAAACUCAGGGGAGGCAUCUUUCAUGGCUCUCAAGGGAAGGGAAGAAGCCUUCAUGGACACCCUAAGGACUCGGAUAGAGGCGAUCCAAACAUGGUCUAACAGGAAGGCUAAGUUCGAGGAAGUGGAGUCAUCAGACGAGGCUCCGAAUUACGUUGACUGAAAACUGGUACAAGCUGUUCAAAGGUACUAGAAGGAGCAAGAGAAGAACUAUGGCCUUGACAAUGUCUCGCCCCUAUCAGAAGAGAUCUUAGCAGAAACUUUCUCAACCAAGUUUAAGCUGCCAAGCUUGGACAAAUAUGAUGGAACAACAGACCCCAGAACCCACCUGGUGAUCUUUAGGAUGACCAUGCAGCUUCAAGAUGUUAAUGACUUCGUGUUGUGCUGGGUAUUUCUGUCAACACUCACAAGUUUGGUGUAACGAUCCAGAAAUCGGACCGCUAUCGGCGCUAGAAUCCAUGUAAUACCUGGCUAGACUUCGACAUCGGAAUUUUCACUUUUCGGCAGAAUCUCGGAUGUCGGAACCCUCUAGAAGGGUAAAAUUAUGGUUUUCUAAAAUGUUUUUAUGUGUUUUAUAAUUUUAAUAUAAAGAAAAGAAAGUGAGUUUGAAAGAAAAGAUCAAGGAAGGAAAAAGCCAGAUUCGGCCGCCGAACCUCAUGUUCGGCCGCCGAACAUUGGCCUCUUGUGGAGGCACCUUUGGCCCCCGAAGGUGGUCUGGCCAGCCACCUAUAAAAGGCCCCUUGUCCGGAAAUGGACGAGUUUUCUAUCUCUAUUUUCGGGCAUAGGUGAGAUUUCGCCCUUCCAUGGUCGAUUUGUUGUUUUCCUUCAAUCUCUUCAAGUUUUGAUGAGUUUUUACUUUGUUUUGAAGAUUUUUUUAAGCUAAGAUCAAGUUUUUGGAAGGUUGGAGACUCCCGAAGCUCGAUUUCUCCAAAUCUCCAAGUUUGGAGUAGUUCCGGAUGAAUGGAUAUUAGAAGGAGUAGUUCCUCCACCAGAACCAGAAAAGAUAAAACCAAAUACAAAUUUAAGUAAAAUUGAACAGUUUGAAGAUGGUAAAGUAUCAUUAAAAUUUAAUAGGAGUGCAAGCACUAGGUAUACAGGAUCUUCAUCUUCAGAAGUAACAGAAGAUAUAGGAAGAGUCUCAAACCUACCAUCAGUUAUAUAUGCUACAUACAAAGGAGAUGAACCUAAAUCGGUAAUCCAGACCAUAGUAAAACCCAGGUUUUCUAUAUCAGAUAUCCCAGAUAGACAGCUUAAAAUGAAAGGAGUAGAUUAUAGUUCUUCAGUUCCCCAGGCAGUAUAUAAUUCAGUAGAAAACUAUCUAAAUCAGCAGGCUGAGAUAGCUCCUUCAUCCCCAUCAUCACCUUCAGUAUCUGCUAUUACAGAAAAUAUAAACAAUAUAAAUAGGGAAUUGAAUGUCCUCAGUAAAGAGAAAAUUGAAAAGAAAUUUCUAAAAGAAAUAACAAAGACAAAAAAUUUAAGUAAACUAAAUAAAAUAGUUAAAAGAUAUAAGUUUGAAAACUUAAAGGAAGAAUAUCUUGAUUAUAUCGGUCAGAAUAGAGAAGAAAUAGGAUUUUUCGAAUGGUUUAAGUUAACUAAAAAGAAGAGUAUAAAUCCGAUAACAGAGAGAGAUAAGAGACCAGAAUGGAUUGUAAAUGAUAAAAUAAUUCAAAGUGAGUUUCCACCUAAAACGAUUAGUAAAAUAAAACAUGGAGAUAAUGAAAUAAUUUGUGCAUCUUAUAAAAUAGCUAGAGAAAAUGAUACAGAUAAAAAGAUUAUAGAACAGAAUAAUUUGAGUAAUGCAAGUUUAAUAUGUAUUGGUACCCAGUUAAAGAAGACAGAAAAAAUAUUAAAAGAAAAAGAUGUAGAAAAAGAAGAGAAAAAAGAGAUAAAACCUCAUAUAUUUAAACCAUAUCAAAUAUCUAGUUCAAGUCAAAAGGAAUUAAAGAAUAAUAAAAAUAAAUUUUUACAGAGUUUGAAAGACCAGUUAAGUAAGAUAGAGUCUUUAGAGUCUACCAAGAAUGCAGCUCCAGAGACACCCCAGUCUAGGAACAUAAAUGUAAUAGAAGAAAAAGAGUCAGAUACAGAUAGUGAGAAUAGCCUAAGCCAGCCAGAGUCAGAAGAAAUAAAACAAUUUGAGAUAAAUCCUAUAUCACACAGAGAAAUAGUAAGUAGAGCACCAGAUCUAGGAUUAUUAGAUAAACCAAUCAGUACUUCUCAAUUUAAAUAUAAUGCUUCAACAGUCUAUGAAUGGAAUAUAGAUGGAUUGUCUGAGUAUAACAUUCUAAGUUUAUUACAACAGAUGACUAUGGCAGCUAAUGCAUAUAAAACCCAGUCUUUUGCAUUAGAUAGGGCAAUAACUGAAAUAUUAGUAGCAGGAUUUACAGGACAAUUAAAAGGAUGGUGGAAUUAUCAUUUAACAGAUAUGCAGCAGUUAGAAAUUUUAAAUUCAGUUUAGGUAGAUAGCGAAGGAGAACCUAUAUGUAAUGAGUUAGGAGAAGCUAUUUAGGAUGCAGUAUCCACAUUAAUUUUAACAAUUUCAUUACAUUUUAUAGGAGACCCAUCCCUCUUAAAAGAUAAAAAUGCUGAGUUAUUAAGUAAUUUAAAAUGUAAAAAAUUAAGUGAUUUCCAGUAUUAUAAAACAACAUUUUUAACAAGAUUAAUGUUAAGAGAAGACUCAAAUCAAGACUUUUGGAAAGAAAAAUUUUUAGCAGGACUCUCUUAUUUCUUAGGAGAGAAAGUAAGAAAUCAUAUAAAGAACCAAUAUGGAAAGAAAAAUCUUUUAGUAAAUUAACAUAUGGACAGAUAGUAAGUAUAAUUCAGAAGGAAGGAUUGCAGAUUUAUCAUGAUUUAAAGUUACAAAGAACUCUAAAGUAUGAAAUGCAUAAAACUAAGAAGGAGUUAGGAUCUUUUUGUAAACAGUUUGAUUAUGGGAUAAAUCAGGAUAAACUCUGUAAUGGUCAGUGUUCUAAAUCUAAACUUAGAAAAUAUUAUAAGAAGGAUCAGUAUUAUAAGAAGAAAUAUAUAGCAAGACCGAGUAAAGAAGAAUAUUAUAAGAAGAAAAAUUAUAAACCUUAUAAAAAAUAUAAAAGGAAAGCACUAGUAAAUAAAACUCAGAAUAAAAAAUCAUUUAAAGAUUUAAUAUGCUAUAAUUGUAAUAAGAAAGGUCAUACAUCUAAGUUUUAUAAGUUUAAUAAAAAAUUAAAUGAGUUAGAUUUAGAUGAAGAAAUAAUAAAUAAAAUUCAGGAGCUAUAUAUAGAUUUAGAAACUACAGAGUCAGAACUCUCAGAAAAUGAGAAUCAGAUAGAUGAGUUAGGAACUAGCUCAUCAAAAAAUUCAAUAAAUGUUUUAACUAAAGAACAGAGUUCAUUACUGUAAUUAGUAAAUAAUAUAGAGGAUAAUACCACUAAAGAAAAAUUUAUUAAAAAAUUAAUUAAAAGUUUUGAUGAAUCAGAAGAGGUUAAAAAUAUUAUUUCUAAAAUAGAAAAACAGACUUAUGAUUUAACUAAAAUAUUAACUAGAAACAAAAAACCAAAGGAAACAGCAUCUAUAGAAGAUUUGCAAAAAGAAAUUAGGAUAAUAAAAAGUGAAGUAAAAGAAUUAAAGAAUCAAAUUCAGAAGGAUUCGAAGAAAAUAAAAUUUUUAGAAGAACAAUUAAUUUCUGAAUCAUCUUCGACUAAUGAGGAGAAUGAGAAUGAGGAAGAGGAUGAUAAAAUAAAUCAGUUAGAAAGUGAAGAAAUAGAUAAUAAUUUUAUAUUAUUACUACAGGAAAUAAUUUCUAGAAAAUAUCUGAUAAAAUUAACAAUUAAACUAUCAGAAGACUUUAAAAUAGAUAUCAUAGCAUUAUUUGAUACGGGAGCAGAUUUAAAUUGUAUAAAAUCAAGUCUAGUACCUAAAAGAUUUUCGCAGGAGACUAAAGAAAAAUUAAAAACAGCAAAUAAGACUAGUCUAAAUAUCUUAGGGAAAACAGAAGCAUUAAUUAUAAAUCAGGAUUUAGAAAUAAAAACUGUAUUUUUAUUAUCACAACAGAUAAAUCACACAGUAAUACUAGGAACUCCGUUUAUAAAUCUAAUAACACCCUAUUCAGUAAAAGAUGAUUGUAUAGAAAUUAAAACAAAAGGUAAAAGGAUUAGAAUGAAUUUUAUAGAAAAACCUAAGAGGAAAAACUUAAAUCUAAUAAAGGCACACUCCAUUAGGACAAUGGAAAUAAACUCAAUAAUAAAAUCUAAAUCAGAAGACUUAAAAGAUUUAAAGAAUACUAUACAUUUUAAUAGGAUUAAAACUCAGUUAGAAAAGGAAUAUAUAAAAGAGAAGAUAAAAAAUUUAAAAGAACAUAUGGAAAAGGAAUUAUGUGCAGAUCACCCUAAUGCUUUCUGAAAUAGGAGAUAACAUAUAGUAGACCUACCUUAUGAAGAAGGUUUUGAUUAAAAAACUAUUUCAACAAAGGCUAGACCUAUCCAGAUGGCACCAGAAUUAAUGGAACAUUGUAAAAAAGAAAUAAAAGAAUUAGAAGAUAAAAAAUUAAUAAGCAAAUCAAGAAGUCCCUGGUCAGGUGCAGCUUUUUAUGUUAAUAAAAGUGCAGAAAUAGAAAGAGGAACACCAAGGUUAGUUAUAAACUAUAAACCAUUAAAUACAACAUUAAAAUGGAUUAGGUACCCAAUUCCUAAUAAAAAAGAUCUUUUAAAUAGGUUAUUUAAUGCAAAUAUUUUUAGUAAAUUUGAUAUGAAAUCAGGAUAUUGGCAGAUUCAAAUUCACCCCAAUGACAGAUAUAAAACGGCAUUUACAAUCCCUUUUGGACAGUAUGAAUGGAAUGUAAUGCCUUUUGGAUUAAAGAAUGCUCCUUCAGAAUUUCAGAGAAUUAUGAAUGAUAUAUUUAAUUCUUAUUCAAAAUUUUGUAUAGUCUACAUAGAUGAUGUAGUGAUAUUUAGCCAGACAAUAGAAGAACAUUUUAAACAUCUAAGGACAUUCUGCAUGAUAAUAAGGAAGAAUGGGUUAGCUCUAAGUAAAACUAAAAUAAAUUUAUUCCAGACCAAAAUUAGAUUUUUAGGACACUAUAUAGAACAAGGUAAAAUCCAACCAAUUGAAAGGACAAUGGCGUUUGGAGAUAAAUUCCCAGAUGAAAUAACCAAUAAAACUCAACUACAAAGAUUUUUAGGAUGUUUAAAUUAUGUCAUAGAUUUUUAUCCUAAUUUAAACAGAAUGAUAAAACCAUUACAUAACAGACUUAAGAAAAAUGCUGGACCAUGGACUGAAGAACAUACCAGCAUUAUAAGACACAUAAAAUCUUUACUAAAGGAAAUCCCAUGUUUAUACCUUCCUAAUCCAGAAGCUUUUAAAAUAGUAGAAACAGAUGCUUCAGACGUAGGAUAUGGAGGAAUUUUAAAACAAAAGAUAAAUGGUAAAGAAAAUAUAAUUCAAUUUACGUUGGGUCAUUGGAAUUCAGCUCAAUUAAAUUAUUCCACUAUUAAAAAGGAAAUUUUGAGUAUUGUGAUUUGUAUAAAUAAAUUCCAGUCUGAUUUGUUAAAUCAAAAGUUUUUAGUCAGAAUUGAUUGUAAAUCGGCAAAUGAUGUUUUAAAGAAAGAUGUUAAAAACCUUGCCUCUAAACAAAUUUUUGCUAGAUGGCAAGCAAUUUUAAGUAUUUUUUAUUUUAAUAUUGAGUAUAUUAAAGGAAGUAAAAAUAAUAUCCCAGACUUUCUAACUAGAGAAUUUUUAUAGCAAAAUGGGAAGAAAGAAGAAUAAACAGAAGAAAAUAAAAUCCAGCUCCAGUUCUACUAAAGCCCUCUCCAAGCAUUCGGAAGAACUUAAUAAGUCCACAAUAAAGCCUGUUGAGCCUAGUAAAACCACUAAAAUCCAAGAAAAAACUUCAGAAGAUUUGAAAAAAUGGAUCGAAGAAUUAAGCCAGUCACUAGAAGUGAUUAAAGCUCUGCAGGAUAUAGCCUCUUCUUCAGGAGAAUCAGGUAUGGCUUCUAAAUCUAAAGCUAUCGUACCCAUUCAUAGUACGGCUAGUCUGUCUCAAACGGUAGACAGUAAAGACUUAUCAAAUCCGUUGAAGGCUGUGGGUUUGCCAAAAAUCCAAUCUUCCCAAGGAUAUAACACUGGUAUUCAUAAAUGGAAUUUAAAAAGUUUUUCAGAAGUAGAAAUUGAAAUUGAACAUGGUUUUAAUGAUAUAAAUCCAUGGGAAGUAAUUAGAAAAAACUAUCCUGAGGAUUGGUAUUUUACACCAAAAGAUCUUUCAAAACCUCAGGAUUAUUAUCAAAGUAUUUUGCAGGAAACAGAAUCAGUUGAAACAAAACAUAAUUUUCAUAAAACCCAUAAAAAUGUGAUAGCAUACUCCUCUAUUAAAAUAAAACAAGUUUUUCACCCUAAGGAUUGGCCCGUUUCAAGUUUGUAUACCCCAUUAACUUUUAAAAAUUUAAAAAAGUAUUGCUUUUCAUAUAAUUACUUUGAUUAUAUAGAAGUAUGGAAAAAUAUUUUUUGUGUUCAGAAUGCAAAUACUACUCAUUCGUGGUUAAUAUAUUUUGAUCAUCAAAGUUUUAAAACCACCUCUAGAUAUCCAAAUUGGUUUUUAAGAUGGUGGCAAAAUAAAGGUAUUACUGAUGAUAUUUUAUCACCAGAAGUUUUUAAAGUAUAUCAGUAUUUUAAAACAAAUUAUAAACCUGCUCAGCAUGAAAAAUAUAUUCCUCCCUUAAUGUAUUUUUGUACCCAGUUUUUUAUACCCUGGGUAUAUCAAUGGUAUUUUGAUUUCCAGUAUAUAACACUAAAUAUCCCAGUUAUUGUAAAAAGACACAAAGUAAAAUGGUGGGGAUCCUUCAAGAACUCUACAACAGAAUUGGUUGUAAAGCAGAGGAUACUUAAAAAAGCCCAGUUCCCUGCAAUAUCUUAUGCUAGUAAAUUGGCCCUGCAAGGAGAGUCUUCAUUUGGGGCUCAGAAGGCCCAAUGCCAAGCUAUGCUCUCAUCAGCUAAAACUUCUGAAGAAUAUAAAAUGAUAUGUCAACAGAUGUUCAGCCAAUUGGGCUCAGGAGAAACAAUAAAGUCUGAAGAAAUAAAACAGGAAAGAAAGUCCAGUAGUAAAGAAUCUUCAAAGCAUUCUUCCAGUAAAAAAGCUCUAAAGAAAAAGUCAAGCAAAAGAAAGCCUAAAAAACAGUCAAGUUCGGAAUCGGAGUCGACAGCGUCAAGUACGUCAUCCUCCAGUAAAACUUCGGCAUCUUCUUAUUGUGAUAGCAAUGAAGAUGACUGUUAUGGAAUAUUACCAGCAAUAAGAAUUAAAAGCAAGACAGACAAAGUAAAAGAAAAGGGAAAGAAAAAGUAAAGAAAAAAGGAAAAGGGAAAAAGAAACGGGACACCUCGUCAUCAUCAGACUCAGAGUAAAAAACAAAAAUGGGCAGAUCACUAUUCAUCUACAGUAAAAGCAGGUGACACAGUAAAAAGCAGGUGGCCGACAUACUAUUCAUCUACAGUAAAAGCAGGUAGCACAGUAAAAAGCAGGUGGCCGACAUACUAUUCAUCUACAGUAAAAGCAGGUAGCACAGUAAAAAGCAGGUGGCCGACAUACUAUUCAUCUACAGUAAAAGCUACUAUUCAUGAACAGUGAAAGCCGUGUUAAUCAACAGUAAAAGUCCGAAAAUUUUCUAUAAAAAGGGAGCCUCUCCCCUUGUGAAGGCACGCAUAUAUUUUCUCCCUCUCUCUAUUUUCUCUACCUUGACACUUCUCUGUAAAAUCUCUAUAUCAAUUUUCAAUUUCCAGAAAUUUUGUAAAACCUUCAAGAAUAAAUAAAAUCAUAGUAAGUUUUAUAUUAAUUUCUGCAUAUUUUAUAUCUGCUAUUUAUAUAAACCCGUGUUGACGGCACCUUUCUCUUCUCCCUCCUCACUCAGACUUAAUUCUGGGGAUCUCAGGUUAAGAUUGCAGGAACCUAAAACCUUUGUGCUAUUUUGUUGCCUAAGUAUGUUCUAUGGUUACAGCUCAGGCUGACCUUCCACAUCAGAAAUAUGUAUUGUUUGCUUGAGCUAGUUAUAAAUUUAAUCAUUUCAUAUUUUAAAGGCCAAGGAUUUUGUGAGGCCAGAAAUUUUACUUUUAUUAAGGCUAGUGACCUUUUGAGGACUGAGUAAUAUUUCUAAUAUUUCUAAUAUUUCUUUUAAAUUUAAUUUUUGAUGUAUGUUUCGAUCCAGUAUUUUGUUAUCAAUUAUUGAGAGGCUAAGUUACAAAUUGAGUGUGGUGAAGAAUCGUUCUUUUUUUUAAUUUUAUAAAAAAUUAAUUUAAUUAUUUAAAUUAAAAAUUUUAAUUUUUUAAUAAAAAUUCUCGAAAAAUUUUUUAAAAAAUUUCAGCUAUUUUUACUGAAAUAUUUAAAAUAUUACUUUCCCAUAAUUUUUAUUUACUUUAUUUUUCACAUAUAUUAAAAAAUAUAAUUAUUUUUAUUAAUAUUUUCAUUAUAUUUAUUUUAAAUAUAUUAAAUUUUAUUAAAUAUUAAGAUAUAUUUAAAAAAAUUUUAAAAAUAAAAUAAAAUAAAAAAGAUUAUAAUGUCCAAUUCAUAUAUUAUUAUAAUCUAAAAAUAAAAAAAGAAUUUUAAGAUAAUAAAAAAUAAAUAAAUAAAAAUGAUGGGACGGCCAAAAUCAAUAAUUUAAUAUAUAAAUUUUAUACAUGAGGUCAAUUAAUCUUCAAAAUUUUAGAAUUGCUAACUAUCAUUUUCUGUACCUAAGGUUGAAUUUAGGGUUAGGGGAGGUGGGAUCCAUAAGUAUAUGAUUACCAUAUGAACCUAUUAAAAUAUUUUUUUUAAUCCACUAAAAUAUUUAAAAUAUUAUUAUAUUUAAUAAAUUUAGACUUAUUAUAUGCUCCCUUUAAUCACCAAAUUUUUAUGUAUAAAUUAAAUUAUUAAUAUCUUUUUAUUUACAUUUUAUUCCUUGCCUAUAAAAUGGUCAUGGAUAAUCUGAAUUCAACAUGUUAAAGAAUCAAAAACACAAAAAGAGAUCAGAAAUGGGUUUGAAAGCAGAUCAUAAGCCGCAUGCAGUUUGUAUCCCAUUUCCAGCUCAAGGCCACAUAAACCCUAUGCUUCAAAUAGCUAAAAUCCUCCAUUUCAAAGGCUUUCACAUAACUUUCGUCAACACAGAAUUCAUCCACAAACGCCUGAAGUUAAACUCCAUAGCCAACAGCUCCAUCAAUGGCUUCUCUAACUUCAGAUUUGAAACAAUCCCAGAUGGAAUCCAACCCGCCGGCGAUGAGGAUGGUGGUGCUGAGGCUCCUCAUCAAGACAUGCCUUCUCUUUUUCACUCCAUCCUUAACAAAUUUUCAACUCCAUUUUGUGAUCUGAUUCACAAGCUUAAUGAUAGUUCGUGUUCUGGAGUUCCUCCGGUGACUUGUAUUGUGGCUGACGGUGGCUUGACCUUCACUCUUGAUGUUGCUCGACGAUUUGGAAUUCCUAUCGGGAUUUUUUGGGUGGCCAGCGCCUGUGCUACUUUGGCUUACACGCAAUAUCAUCAACUUAUUGAAAGAGGUUUAGCUCCUCUCAAGGGUAGGAUCCCUCUUUGUCCAAUUCAAAAUAAUAUAUUCAUUUUAUUAUUAGAAUUACUUGAUUUUACAAUUACGUACAUAUUUACUCAUUAUAAAAUAAAUAAAUACAGCACUUUCAGUAAAACAAAACUAUAUCAGAAUUUUAAUUUCUUUAAACUCUGUCUAGAGAUAAGUGUAUCAAAUUAAUUAAUUAUAUAUAAUAAAUCUAUUAUUAUCUCAUCAAAAAUUUUAAAAAAAAUAUGUUUUUUAUAUUAUUUUUAAUUAUAUAGUAGGCACAAAUUGGAUCCUUUAAACUUGUAUGACUAUUUAAUUUGUUGUGCUUUUCACGCAGAUGAAAGCUACCUUACAAAUGGCUAUCUGGAAACGAGCAUAGAUUGGAUUCCAGGCUUGAAAAAUAUCCGGCUAAAGGAUCUUCCACCUUUCUUCAGAACUACAGACCCAAACGAUCCCUUUCUCAAAUGGGUCUUGACAGAGGUAGAGAAAGCUUCCACAGCUUCUGCUUUGAUUCUCAACACGUUUGAUUCCCUGGAACAAGAUGCCUUGCAAGCUCUGUGUGCCAUGUAUCCUCAUUUAUACACCAUAGGUCCUUUUCAGUUGCUGGUUGAUCAGAUCGAUGACGAUGAUGAACUGAAACUCAUGGGUUCAAGUCUAUGGAAAGAACACUCUGAGUGCCUUGCAUGGCUUGAUUCAAAACAACCCAACUCGGUUUUAUACGUAAAUUUUGGUAGUACUACUACAAUGACUCUUGAUGAACUCACUGAGUUUGCAUGGGGACUAGCCAACAGCAAAAAACAAUUCCUGUGGGUAAUAAGGGCCGACCUUGUCAAAGGUGGCUCAGAAAUUCUGCCACCCGAAUUUGCAGAAGAGAUAGUGGACAGAGGAUUUCUGACAAGCUGGUGUCCGCAAGAACAAGUCCUGAAGCAUCCAUCGGUCGGAGUUUUUUUAAGCCAUAUGGGGUGGAAUUCAAGUCUGGAAAGUGUUUGCGGUGGAGUGCCGUUGAUUUGUUGGCCAUUUAUAGCAGAUCAGAUGACAAACAGUAGAUAUGCUUGCACAGAAUGGGGCGUUGGAUUGGAGCUUGAAAAAGUUGAGAGAAAUGAAGUGGAGAAGCUUGUGAAGGAGCUUUUCGAAGGAGAGAAAGGGAAGGAAAUGAAGAAGAAAGUAAUGGAGUGGAAGAGAAAAGCAGAAGAGGCUACAUUUCCUGGUGGUUCCUCUUGCAAGAACUUGGAUAAGUUGUUGGAG